CUUUUUUGUUAACAUUGAUUGCACUUUAGCUUAAACUCCCCACCUACAACAGUGGCUGCACCCGUCCCGUUAUUAUCCUAGGACAGCUUUUUUUAGAAACGUGUUUAUGAAAACUACUGGGAAGUAUCACCGGGCGAAAAAUUCAUAUCUUUUAAGGUACUGAACGGAUACAAACAGAAGCAUUUUACCAACUGAAAUCCUUUCCCGAGAAACAAAC